rnacentral:rRNA from 2 species
CAUCCUCCUUGGGACAAGCCCUGGAAACGGGUCUAAUACGGAUAACUUGUCCCCAUGGGACGGGGUUAAAAGUCCGGGGUGAAGGAUGAGCCCGCGGCCUAUCAGCUGUUGGUGGGGUAAUGGCCUACCAAGGCGACGACGGGUAGCCGGCCUGAGAGGGCGACCGCCCACUGGGACUGAGACAGGCCCAGACUCCUACGGGAGGCAGCAGUGGGGAAUAUUGCACAAUGGGCGAAAGCCUGAUGCAGCGACGCCGCGUGAGGGAUGACGGCCUUCGGGUUGUAAACCUCUUUCAGCAGGGAAGAAGCGAAAGUGACGGUACCUGCAGAAGAAGCGCCGGCUAACUACGUGCCAGCAGCCGCGGUAAUACGUAGGGCGCAAGCGUUGUCCGGAAUUAUUGGGCGUAAAGAGCUCGUAGGCGGCUUGUCACGUCGGAUGUGAAAGCCCGGGGCUUAACCCCGGGUCUGCAUUCGAUACGGGCUAGCUAGAGUGUGGUAGGGGAGAUCGGAAUUCCUGGUGUAGCGGUGAAAUGCGCAGAUAUCAGGAGGAACACCGGUGGCGAAGGCGGAUCUCUGGGCCAUUACUGACGCUGAGAGCGAAAGCGUGGGGAGCGAACAGGAUUAGAUACCCUGGUAGUCCACGCCGUAAACGUUGGGAACUAGGUGUUGGCGACAUUCCACGUCGUCGGUGCCGCAGCUAACGCAUUAAGUUCCCCGCCUGGGGAGUACGGCCGCAAGGCUAAAACUCAAAGGAAUUGACGGGGGCCCGCACAAGCAGCGGACAUGUGUCUUAAUUCGACCAACGCGAAGAACCUACC